rnacentral:rRNA from 1 species
UCAUGACUGGGGUGAAGUCGUAACAAGGUAACCGUAGGGGAACCUGCGGUUGGAUCACCUCCUUACCUGAAAGAA